UACGUAGGGAGCAAGCGUUGUUCGGAUUUACUGGGCGUAAAGGGCGCGUAGGCGGCGCUGUAAGUCACUUGUGAAAUCUCUGAGCUUAACUCAGAACGGCCAAGUGAUACUGCAGUGCUAGAGUGCAGAAGGGGCAAUCGGAAUUCUUGGUGUAGCGGUGAAAUGCGUAGAUAUCAAGAGGAACACCUGAGGUGAAGACGGGUUGCUGGGCCGACACUGACGCUGAGUGCGCGAAAGCCAGGGGAGCAAACGGG
rnacentral:rRNA from 1 species